AGCGAACGUUAGCGGCGGGCCUAACACAUGCAAGUCGAACGCGAAAGGUCUUCGGACUGAGUAGAGUGGCGCACGGGUGAGUAACACGUAGGUAAUCUACCCUUUGGCGGGGGAUAACGUUCCGAAAGGAGCGCUAAUACCGCAUAAGACCACGGAGUCUCCGGACGCUGUGGGAAAAGGUGGCCUCUUCUUGAAAGCUACCACCGAAGGAUGAGCCUGCGUCCCAUCAGCUAGUUGGUAAGGUAAUGGCUUACCAAGGCGAAGACGGGUAGCUGGUUUGAGAGAAUGAUCAGCCACACUGGCACUGGAACACGGGCCAGACUCCUACGGGAGGCAGCAGUGAGGAAUAUUGGGCAAUGGGCGAAAGCCUGACCCAGCCACGCCGCGUGAGUGAUGAAGGCCCUCGGGUCGUAAAGCACUUUCAGUGGGAAGAACGGGCCAAGGUUAAUACCCUGGCUUCUGACGUUACCACAGAAGAAGCACCGGCUAACUCCGUGCCAGCAGCCGCGGUAAAGUC
rnacentral:rRNA from 1 species